GUAAGCAUAGUUUAAAUAAAACAUUAGAUUGUGAUUCUGAAAAUAGAAGUUUAAGUCUUCUUGCUGACC
rnacentral:tRNA from 1 species